rnacentral:pre_miRNA from 1 species
GUCUAAAUUGCAUGUCAAAUUGUAAUUCCCAGGCCCUUCCUCCAAUACUGGGAAUUACAAUUUGACAUGCAGUUUAGACA